AUGAACGCUGGCGGCGUGCCUAAUACAUGCAAGUCGAGCGAACGGACGAGAAGCUUGCUUCUCUGAUGUUAGCGGCGGACGGGUGAGUAACACGUGGAUAACCUACCUAUAAGACUGGGAUAACUUCGGGAAACCGGAGCUAAUACCGGAUAAUAUUUUGAACCGCAUGGUUCAAAAGUGAAAGACGGUCUUGCUGUCACUUAUAGAUGGAUCCGCGCUGCAUUAGCUAGUUGGUAAGGUAACGGCUUACCAAGGCAACGAUGCAUAGCCGACCUGAGAGGGUGUUCGGCCACACUGGAACUGAGACACGGUCCAGACUCCUACGGGAGGCAGCAGUAGGGAAUCUUCCGCAAUGGGCGAAAGCCUGACGGAGCAACGCCGCGUGAGUGAUGAAGGUCUUCGGAUCGUAAAACUCUGUUAUUAGGGAAGAACAUAUGUGUAAGUAACUGUGCACAUCUUGACGGUACCUAAUCAGAAAGCCACGGCUAACUACGUG
rnacentral:rRNA from 1 species